rnacentral:lncRNA from 1 species
GGAAAUUAUAGAUUCUCAAGGUAAUGAAAUGCUUUAUCAGUUAUCAGCACCGAAGGUUCACUGACACAUAAUUCAGCGCCCAACUUCCUGAUGUGGAAAGCUUCGCAUAUUUCUCUUUCCAGUCUAUUGCGUUCCCUCCCCACAAU